CUUUUGACUGAAUCGCUCCUCCUUGGGAGUCCACUGAUGCUGGGUCCUCAGAGGAGUAUGUGUAAAGAGAGGCACAGCUGCAUGCCCAUGCUAACGAAGAAUGCAGAACCUGAGCUUCAGUUUUCUUCCCACUGACGAUGGAAGCUAAGGUACACAACUGGGAAACAAGUGUUUGGCACCUUUUCCACCUGCAGACAGGGUUAUGAUUGUAUUGAUGUCGAGCAUGGCUUGGAGAUUAUCAGGUCUCACAGAAUCGCAUUAUAACGAUAGGGAUGGUGCAUGGAGGAGUGACACUGUCCAAUGCCAUUGCCAAGAGCAGCCAGGCAUUAAGACGUUGUCAAGUCAGCGAAUAUCCUGUUAUAACCCCUCUUUGAGAACAGUGGGGCUCUUCUGGGUCCUCGGCUGCCUGAGGCCAGGGAAGGAAGAUGCGCCUGGUAGGACAGCGGCACCCAGGAAGCCAAGGUCUUGGUGGCAAAGAACAGUGGGAGUGGCAAGAGUCCUCCCAGCCCCUUUCUUCUGACUGACUCACGCGGCAACAUGGAAUUACCCUUCCCACAGAAAGCAAGACUCCUGGAUGUCAGAGUGAGGCCCCUCAACACAAUUUGUUGCCCUUAGAGACUGUAAUUCUCCUGUAUUCUCUGUGCAUGUCCCCUGUUGAAGUAUAAUUACACCUCUCUUUUCCAUUUCCUGAGAAGGAAGCGUGUAUUAAUAGUCAGGAGCAGAGAGACAACAUAAUCAUCAAAUCACUAACGGGAAGAAUUCACCAAUGAUCAAAAAUGAAACCAGGGGAAAGUGAAUAUUGAUGAUCUCAACUUAGAAAAACAAUGGACAGAAAAUGGUGCUGCCUUUAUUCUACUAUAAUAGUUUCUCUAGGCAUUGAUUUGCCUUCACCUGUUUCCUGACAGUUUGGGCCUUUGGGAAAAUGACUAGAGGUUCU
rnacentral:lncRNA from 12 species